ACUGAAGUGGUGUAAUGGUUAAACCUUGUGAUUGUUACUCUCAGGACAUGGGUUCAACUCCCAGGUUUUGAA